rnacentral:rRNA from 1 species
UACGGAGGGGUUAGCGUUGUUCGGAAUUACUGGGCGUAAAGACGCACGUAGGCGGAUUGGAAAGUUGGGGUGGAAAUCCCCAGGGCUCAACCCUCGGAACGGCCUCCAAAACUACCCAGUCUGGAGUUCGAGAGAGGUGAGUGGAAUUCCGAGUGUAGAGGUGAAAUUCGUAGAUAUUCGGAGGAACGCCAGUGGCGAAGGCGGCUCACUGGCUCGAUACUGACGCUGAGGUGCGAAAGUGUGGGGAGCAAACAGGAUUAGAUACCCCUGUAGU